GGAAGUUAAGAAAUUGUUUCUUAAAUUUUAACUAAAAAAACUAAGAACUGUUUCUUAAAUAAGGACUUUAAAAACCGGUUCUUAGUUUUUUUAGUUAAAAAUUAAAAAACAGUUUCUUAACUUCU
rfam:Brassica oleracea var. oleracea cultivar TO1000 chromosome C8, whole genome shotgun sequence